ACGGGGAUGCCCAUAUGUCACAAAAGUUAUCUUCGCACUUUAUAUAGAGAGGAUAAGGUACCUUUGGACAAUCAUCGUCAGAAACACAAGAAAUCUGAGCUGCAUUAUCAAAUAAGAAAAUAAAUCAUCGUUACUAAAACGUGAUUUGAUAUUGUGUAUAAGAAAAAUUAGAAAAUUGUGUGACAAAUUACAUACUUCUAAUGGUUUCAAUAGGAAAUAGAGUAAUACAUACUUCUAAUAGUUUCAACAGGAAAUAGAAUAAGAAAGAUGAUCAACACAUAAAAUAAAAUUACGAUUUGAGUCAUAUUUGUUCUCCUUUGCAUGUAAUAAAUAUAAUUAUUUUUUUUUGUUUUAUAAGCAAAAAUUUCUUUUUUUGUUAACUUCAAUUAAAUAAGUUUUAGCACUUAGGAGUUCUAAGAAGCCAUUUAUAAAAUUGAAAUCAAUGUUAAAUAUCUCUAAUCAAUAUGUUGUGUUUAUCUCUAUAGCUCACUCAAUUGAUUAUUUAAUCUUACUAAAUAUAUUACAUAAAAAUUAUGAUAAUUAUCAAAGUUCACUAUUUUUUUUUAUUAAACUUCAUUAUGUGUGUGUUUUUUUUUUAAUAUUUUAGCCUUUCGUAAUAGAUUGGGGAAAAUCCCAAUAGCGAAAGAAUAUUAGUGAAUGAUACAAUUUUUUUUUUACCUGUGUAAAUAAUGAGUAGAAGAGGUGACAACAUAUUUUUUUUAUAAAUUAGAAUGACUAGAAUGUUAUGGCUGGAUCGUCCGUGAAAAGGGGUCACCACCAAUUUUUAGUUCUUUACGAAAAAAAACCUAACAAAUGUUGACCUUAAACCAGAGAUCCAAUUCAAAAAUCGAUUAAGAGUUGGGAAUGUGUUAUCUCCCUACAGUGUCCAUUUGAAACAAUUGUCCUAUAAUUAAAUGCAUAAGAAUUAUAAUACUUUUAAUAGUAUUUAUUUUAUACAAAAUGAAAUAAUAGACAUAAACAAUAAUCAUUUACAUUAAAUAUGAGAUAAGUAAAUGUUUUUAUAUUUAAUUUGAUAAGGGAGAUGAUUUUUUAUUUAUUUAUUUUACAUAUCCUUGGGAAAAAUAGGAAAAUCAAUACACAUUUAGUUUUUGUAGAUUUUUUUUAAGCAAAUGAAAGGGUGCAUAGGGAUCUCCAACUGCAACACCUUGAAAGAUGGAUUAUGUGUGUUGACUAUACUAAUGUUAAUAUGAUAUUUCUUAAUGAUGUGGAUCCUCUCUAACAUUGAUAAGUUAGUAGAUAAUUCAUUUAGUUUUAAGUUAUUAUCAUUUAUGGAUUCUUACUCUAGGUACAACAAAAUCACCAUGGCUUAUGAAUGAAUCAUGCAACUAUUUUUACAACGUAAUGUCAUUCAACCAUAGGAAUACAUGUGAAACCUACCAAAUAAUGAAACAAGGUUUCCAAAGAAAAAAUUGACGACAUCCUCUAAGUCUAUAUGGAUGAUAUGAUGAUAAAAUCCAAACAAGAGGUAGAUUAUACCAUCAUCAGAAGUAAGUCUUUGAACAAGCUUAAAAGUACAACAUGAGACUUAACCCAUAUAAAUAUAAGUGCACAUUUGAUGUACGAGAAGGUAAGUUCCUAGGGUUCUACUUGAUGAAACAAGGAAUGGAGGCAACCCAAGAUAAAUUCACAGCUUUCACCAAAACACAAUUACGUACUGAACUCGAAGAAGUCGAUACAAAACACAAUAACAGUGCAACCAAAUAUUACAAGAAGAUAAAUCCUAUUUCGUGGAGACAUUGCUGAGACAAUGAUGAGAUGGUCACCUGAGAUCUCUAAAUUUGACAUGAAAAAAUGACCACUUGCCACGAGGACAAGAACAACAUAUGGAUUAUCUUUAUAGACGAAUCAUUGAACUCUAAUGGAUGCAUCACAUUCAUAAUACUCAAGAAUGGAGAAGGAUCAUUUUCAAAGUAUAUCUUGGACUAUCCUUCUAAAUAUCAAACAAUCAAGAGGAAUAUGAAACAUUCUUCUUUGAACAAAUUUUCAAUUGGUAGCAUCCCAAGUCCUAGGGGAAUUUUAUGUUGGAGAUGAGUAUCUGUGAGAAUAUAGUGAUAUAUACAAAAAGAAUCCUUAUACAGUCCAAAAAUAUAGUACUUUUUGAAAAGCGACGUCUACUAGGGUUCAAAUGGUGCAAAAGAAACGUUCAUGGCUUAACUUUUUUUUUUUUUAUCAGGUAGUUUAGUAGUUAGUGACUAGAAUUCACUUUUUAAAAGGUGAAUAAGUGAGGUGUUCGGAGUUCGAACCCCGAUCCCUGCAUAUAAUAAUGCAUAUGUAUAUGAAAAUAUAUCAAAGAUUAAAAUUACAUAUAAAUAAAAUCAUUUGUAAGAACCUAUGAUACAAACAUUGUGACAUGUAAAUAAAAUUAUACGCUUAGAGGUAAUAUAGCUAAUUUUAAACAAUUGUUACGGUGAUCCCCAUAUCUCACAAAAAUUAUAAAUGCACUUUAUAAAUAGAGGAUACGAUGCUUUUGGACAAUCAUAGUCAGAAACACAUGGAAUGCGAGCUGCAUUGUCAAAUAAGAAGAAAAAGAUUGUUAGUAAAAGGUGAUAUAAUAUUAUGUAUAAGUUGAAUUACAAAAUUUGAAAAUGGUAUCAAAAUGACAUACUUCUAUAACUGGUUACAACAAAAGAUAGAGAAAGAAAAAUAAUGAAAAAAUA
rnacentral:lncRNA from 1 species